rnacentral:misc_RNA from 1 species
UAAUAAGUGUUUUAUGGCACUUUUUAAAUCCAUAUCCACCUUGUGUGCAAUGUCGGUCGAUCUUCUUCAUGGAGAUCGACUAAACAUCAACCUUUAUCUUUUAACUCUUUGUCUGAAAAAUAUUAUGAAUAAACAAUUCAAAAUA